rnacentral:pre_miRNA from 1 species
AUAUUACUUCCUUCGUCCGAAAAUACUUGUCAUAGGAAUGAAUGUAUCUAGAUGUAUUUUAGUUCUAGAUACAUCCAUUUUCAUUUAUUUAUACGAUAAGUCAUUCCGGACGGAGGGAGUAUAUG